GCCGCCGUUUCCUCUGGGCCGCGUGACGCGCGCGCGCUUGGUGGGCGCGUUCCCGCGGCGCGGCCUCUGAGGGAGGGAGCGAGCGGGCCGCGGCUGUGGGGCUCCGAGCUUCAUCCGCGGGGACCCUGCGGACGGCGCGGAGCCGGAGGAGCCGUUCCGUUUAACGCUGCUGCCUGCUCUUCUUGCUCUCUCCGCUGCUGAAGGCUCCGGGAAGGCGUGAAGGAACGGCUAAAUGUCUCCUUAAAGUGUGCUCGUAGGGCAGAGCCCCGCAGCCCUGGAGGCCUGGAUUGUGCAGCUGAAUGUCAGCGGAAAAAUGCACCCGUAUCUUCUGGAGCAGACUCUGAGAGAGGACGGCUGGGUCGGCUGGAAUGGCACAGAAAGCGAGGCGCCUGCGGCGGAGCGGUGGAAAUUCUUCCUGCGAUGAAAUACACUGCUCUCUCAACACAUGACAAGGCAUUCUUCAUUAAAUGGGGUAUGAUUGUCUCCCUCGGAGAGGAGCUACGUCGUUCUGGUUUUUCCUGAGCAUGAGUUGAAACUCAAGAUCAGCCCAAGACAAUGCAAGAACACAAGCCAUGAAAUCAAGAAUUUAGGGAAAAAAAAAGUGUUUUGCCUCCAUUUUUUUCCUAGCAAGUGGUUCUGCCUUAUGUGGUCUGGGGUAGAGCUCUUUCCUGUAUUCAUAGCAUCAUCUGUCCAGUCUCUCUGUCAUUCAUGUCAAGUAGCAGAGCAACUUGCUGACUAACUCCAAAGAGAGAUGGAAUGAGACUUUUUUCAUGAAAGGCUCUUUUUCUGCUAUGUUGGCAAACCUAGCUCCUGGCUUUGUACUCUCUGGGACAGUCAUUUAAUGAGCAGUCAAGACUUACAAGACAUGAAGACUAAAAUGUUCAAACGCAACUACCUGAAUAUGAAUGGAAGGCGCUGAUGUGAAACUGCAGCAACCCUUUGCACAGUGCCCAUUGUUAGUCUUGUGCUUGCUUAUCUCAUGGGAAGGUCACACCGUGGAUUUGAAUUCGUUAUUUCAGCCUGAGACGCUGGCUGUCAGAAGUGACUUUGUAAAUCAGUCUACAAGAGAAUGGAGAGAGGAGAAACAGAUGAGAACAAGGAGACAUUUUGAAGUAAAAACCAGGAAGCAGCAGAAUGGCUGGAUAUCGAGGAUCCUCCACCUGUACCAGUCAGGCUUCCCUGGCCUUGAGUCUGUCUUUGCUUCAUGAAACAAACAAACAAACAAGAAUUAACAGACAAGGAAAAAAAAAAAGGCAAAAUGUCAGUAUAAGACUUCUUCACCUAAAUCAGAAAAUGUGGUGCGGAAGGGCCCACAAGAAGCUAGUAGAUGAGGAGCGGGGAUGGAAUCUUAAAAGAAUUUAGCUGACAAACUUGGAAGAGUUACGAAUGGCAUGAAUCAAUCAGACAUUUACAGUUUGGCCAGGUUGGAUGGUUUCCCACAAGGGUGUUCAAAAGAACCUGAAGGCCGUGUGGCUUCUUUCUUUCUAAACUGAUUGCACGACAUUUUAGUGGCCUCUGCCAAGAUGAGAAGGCGUGCAGGCUUCUUAAUGAAGUGGCUAAUGAGCAGACUUUCUUUUGUUGAUGAAUAAAUGGUUUUUCCUAGCUCAUUGUUUUAAAUGUAGGGACUGCAUUCAGUUCAGAGUGUCUUUUUAAACGAGCCUCAUGGACUUCCUUGACGUGGACAGCUCAAAUGGUUUCAGUUUGGCAAGCUUGCAACCAACUGGAAGCAUGAUCUGGUGAUCACAAAGCAACAAGUGGUCUUGUGUGGGUGUCUCGUAGAAGGAGCAUCCAAGUAGAUGGGGCUGUGAUUUGAAUGAAGAGCUGAACAGCCAUAUGACAGCAUCUGAAAGAGAACACAGCUGGGCAAUGCUUGUGCGGAAGGAAGGCUCUAGAGUCUCUUCUCAUUAAAACAUCUCAGUAAUGACUGUCAAAGAGAACUGCUCCUCUGUUCUGUGACUACUACCAUGUGUUAAAGGUCUUUUGUCAUCUCCAAAGGCGAGUGGUGGUAUGUGGAAUGGAAGCACCAUAGCAGCAAACAGACUUGUGGUGAAUAUCUGAAUUUUGGACAGGACCUUCUAAGAAAUCUAUGUCCACAUUGGUCUGCGGAGUCUUUUUGAAAUGACUGGAGGAAGGAGCCUGCAGGCCUUCCCAAGAGUAGCAGUGCCUUUUUGACCCAAAGGCAAUAAAACUAUGCCAAUAUCAGGAGCUACCAGCUUCAACAAGCUGA